UGGGUGCAGUGUAACCCAUUGUUUUCUUUAGUUAAAGGAAACUUACUUUGGCUGCAUUUAGGUGGUACACCCAUAGGUGCAGUGUAACCCAGUGUUUUCUUUAGUUCAAGGUAACUAACAUAGGCUGCAUUUUAGGUGGCACACCCAUGGGUGCAGUGUAACCCAGUGUUUUAUUUAGUUAAAGGUAACUACUGUAGGCUGCACUUUAGGUGGCACACCCAUAGGUGCAGUGUAACCCAGUGUUUUCUUUAGUAAACGGUAACUAACAUAGGCUGCACUUUAGGUGGCACAUCCAUGGGUGCAGUGUAACCUAGUGUUUAAUUUAGUUAAAGGUAAUAAACAUAGGCUGCACUUUAGGUGGCACACCCAUAGGUGCAGUGUAACCCAGUGUUUUCUUUAGUAAACGGUAACUAACAUAGGCUGCACUUUAGGUGGCGCACCCAUGGGUGCAGUAUAACCUAAUGUUUUAUUUAGUUAAAGGUAAUUCACAUAGGCUGCACGUUAGGUGGCAUACCCAUGGGUGCAGUGUAGCCCAGUGUUGUAUUUAGUAAAGGUAACUUCCUUUGGCCGCACUUUAGGUGGCACACCCAUGGGUGCUGUGUAACCCAGUGUCUUAUUUAGUUAAAGGUAAUUAACAUAGGCUGCACUUUAGGUGGCACAUCCAUGGGUGCAGUGUAACCUAGUGUUGCUAAUGAGUGACUGUAACCCAGUUCAGUUUUUUCUAGAAAGUGCUGUCCUUUAAGUAGCAUAAAGACAUGCAGACAUUCUCUUUAAGACAAUGAAAUUGGUGUGAGGGAACAUUUCUUCAAGUAGUAUGGUAGCACAAUGUUAUGUAAUUAAUGCGUUUUUCCAAAUGUUUAGUACUUUUCAGAAGCUUUAAGCAAGGGCACUUUUGUAAGAGAUUUUGGUACACAUACUGAGAUAAUUGAUUUGGAAGGCUCAGAUAUUAAAGCUGACAUGGAGCCUCGCCUUGUUCAGUGGCAAGGCAAGUUGGAUGAGCUACAUGUCUUUUUCAAGAAGUUGUGCAAGUCACGCAAAAAGUCACUAUUCACUAUCCACUAUUGUUUUUCUUGCGUUAGAUCUGCUUUUUUCGAUUCGAUUGCACCUUGACUAUUUUUGUACCGCUACUCCUCUUGCGUUAUAUUUAUUUAAAUGAGCAAUUUUUAAAAGACAGAAAAUGUCCUUCUUUCAAUAACGUGGCGGAAUAAAACAAUUACACAAAGAUGUUACUAUGAUACUUUUUGGUACGAAAUAUUUUAUUUUUGACCAGCACUGUUAUGCCUAAUUUUGUCCAUAAACGGACAAAAUUGCUCCGAUUUUGAGACGACAUUACAGCUUUUUGGCAGCGAUCGCCAAGAAACUGAAUGUGCCACGGAAUUACACCCAAUUAAGAAAGAUAUUUUCACCCUUCCAGCAGUCAUUAGAAAGCCGUUUUGUCCCCUCAAAAUCGGAUGUAGUUCACACGUUAAGGGUAAUAAACUGAUAAAAAAUGAUUUACAAUUAUCCUGUUGUCAAUAGGUUCUUAUUCACGUAAGCUGGGUCAUAAACUAUUUCUUGCGGCAGAAUCAUGGGGAAGAAGUUGUCCUUCAUUUUAAAAUCGCUGAAAUUGUAGUAACUAAACCUUGAAUGAAACUAUUGUAGGAAGAUUCAUUACUUGACGAGGGAAUUCCGCAUUUAAUUGCACGCGAAAAGCGAUACGCGAAGCGAUGAGUGCGAUAUCGGUUUUUAAGUGCAAUUUAACGCGGAAUUCACGAGCCAAGUAAUGGAUUUUCCUUGAAUCACAUAUUUGAAUAAAAACAAGAUAAAAAGAAAA